ACUCCAAGGCGUUGAAGCUGUUUAGCAAGAUUGGAUUUUGGAGGCUUUCUUGGAAAUUCUGGUUCUUGGGCUAAUUGGUCUGUUAAAAAAGAAUCGGCGGCUUGACGGCGUUUUGAUCCGGUUCGGUGACUCGAUAGUGGUGAGUAGUGAGUCCGAGUUAGACUAUCCGACGAUGACGUGUCCUUAUUUCCUUAAUAUUUGUGGAUAAAAGCUCUUUUUGCCGAUUGAAGUCUUAUAUAAAUGUAUGAUUUGAUACAAAAAUAGAUUAAUAUAUUCAAUUUUAGUACAUAAUAUAGCAUUUAUAGCUCACUUAACCGCAUUUAUGUCUUAUUUAAUCGGAAAUUACUCUCCCUAUCUCGUUUAAAA